rnacentral:rRNA from 1 species
AACGAACGCUGGCGGCAUGCCUAACACAUGCAAGUCGAACGAGACCUUCGGGUCUAGUGGCGCACGGGUGCGUAACGCGUGGGAAUCUGCCCUUUGCUUCGGAAUAACAGUUAGAAAUGACUGCUAAUACCGGAUGAUGUCUUCGGACCAAAGAUUUAUCGGCAAAGGAUGAGCCCGCGUAGGAUUAGGUAGUUGGUGGGGUAAAGGCCUACCAAGCCGACGAUCCUUAGCUGGUCUGAGAGGAUGAUCAGCCACACUGGGACUGAGACACGGCCCAGACUCCUACGGGAGGCAGCAGUGGGGAAUAUUGGACAAUGGGCGAAAGCCUGAUCCAGCAAUGCCGCGUGAGUGAUGAAGGCCUUCGGUCGUAAGCUCUUUUACCUAGGGAUGAUAAUGACAGUACCUGGAGAAUAAGCUCCGGCUAACUCCGUG